GUAAAUGGACUGCAUUUAUAUAGCGCUUUUAUCCAAAGCGCUUUACAAUUUAUGCCUCUCAUUCGCCAGGGCAGUUAGGGGUUAGGUGUCUUGUUCAAGGACACUCCGACACGCCCAGGGCGGGGUUUGAACCGGCAACCCUCCGACUGCCAGACAAUCGGUCUUACCUCAUGAGCUAUGUCGCCACAGAGAGUAUAAAACCUGGCGCUGUAGAUUACUCAGUGCCGUGUGUGUGGAUUGGAGGCAGCCAAUCCACUGCAGAACGCGACCCUGGCGACGGGUGGACUCCGAAGCCGUAGGUAGCUAGUCCUGAAGCAAACGCCAAGCCAAAGGUAGCCAGCUGAGGCGAGUCCAAGAUGCGGAGCAAAACCAGCCCCGCAGGGAGCAAUGAAAGUCAACGCCAGUUGCAUAUUUUGUUCAAGGCAACCUUCAGAGACAGGGGCCCGUUGGGUAGGACCGAUCAUCCUACUUUUUGACUUUCCCUGUAAAACAACCAUCUCGAACAGCUAUUUGCGUGGAUAGCUCCCCGGUGUUGACGAAACUCUGAACAGGCAGAAGCAACUCCUUACUACAUCAGUGUGAGUUGUGAAGUCUGUAUGCCUUAUUAAUAAUAUAUGGAUAGAUACCUAGGUUACGUGUGUGUGUGCAUUGUAAUCUUUACUUAGAAGAAUAAGCCCGACUAUAGUCGGGUUAAGAUUAGUUAAUAAGACAUCUUAAUAGUGUGAAGUGUGAGCAAUUAAAGUUACUCUCUUGGUGUUUAAUUACUUUCAAGCUUCAUCACCACACUCCAAAAGAACCUUUAUACUGAAGUGCUGUGUAUACAUUGGAUUAUAAUAACAUUAAAUUAAACCAACAAAAAUCAUAAUGACAAUAAUGUAGUAGUAAAUUGCAAUCUGUCAUCAUCAGCAUUUUCGGUAUAAAACAUCAUCUAGUGACUGUACUGUAAUGUUAUUUUUCCAACCGGAUUUUUCAAAACUCCAUAGGUGUUCCAUCCGCCCAUUAUCUAUAAUUUAUAGCUUAUUCCUGGUCAGGGUCGAGGGGGGUGCUGGAGCCUAUCCCAGGAUCCCUGGACAGGUUGCCUACGCGCAGUUUAGACUGCCCAAUUAACCUUACCCUGCGUGUCUUAGUAAUGCGGGAAGAAGUCGUGCGGACACGCUCACGGUGCGCACACACAGCGAGCUACUCGUCAGCCAAGUCGCCGGAAGUCCAUUCAUUCUCUACGUAGCUGAGCGACACCGAGCAACUGGGCAGAAAAAUGUUGCUCACAGUUUAACUUUUUGCAGGCAUCGCCUGUCAACAUUGAUCAACAGCCAAUCAGAGUUACAGGCUUCCUAUUUCUCCUACCGAUAUGAUAAAAUUUUGUGAGUGUGUGACCAUGGACAGAGCCUCCACGAUUGUGAGAUGUGACCAAAUGAGGUGUGAUGCUUAGAAACUACUAUCAAGCCUGAGACAACUUAGUGAGUCUUUGGAGAAUGUCUCUUCAUGCUGUGUAGUGGGUAUUUCCCUGGUGCAUAUUGUACUAAAGUCUGUUACAGUGGGAAAAUGUAGUCUGACCUGAUGUUUUCCUGUUUACCUCAUGUACCUACUUUGAUUAUUUGGCACAUUGUAUGGUAGUUAGCAUUUCUUAUGGAUGCUGAUAAGUUGUAAUUUUAUUGAAAUUAGGCUUGGGGCUGCUGGAUGGCUCAUUUGGUUAUGGAUAUGGUUCUUUUUUCCUCUCAUCCAAGCACAGUAAAAUAAGUCAUUAAUGUGCAGGCUUGUUACCAUACCAAAGGUGAUUUUUU